UGUGUGUUUAAUGAUGUCCCCCAGAAGAUAUGUUGCAGCCCUAACCCCCAGGGCCUAUAAAUGUGACCUUUUCUGGAAAUAGUCUUCGCAGUUGUAAUCAAGGGUUGUUCUUGACUAGAGUGGGCCCUACAUCCAAUGACUGGUGUUCUCAUAAGGAGAGAGAGACAAAGAGUAGACAGACACAAGGGAGAAGGCCGUGUGAAGAUGGAGACAGAGAUUGGAAUGAUACAGCCACAAGCCAAGAAACAUCUGCGGCCGUCAGAAGUUGGAAGAGCAGCCCUGUGGAUCUAAUAUAGUCAUAAGAGACAUUGUGACCUCCUCCCUGCUCUCUUGAACCACUCAUUCUGGGAGAAGUCAGCUGCCAUGUCAUGAAGCUACUCAGGGAGGUCCAUGGAGAGGUCCACAUGGCAAGGAACUGAGGCCUCCUGCCAGUAGCCAGCACCAUCUUGCUGGCCAUGUGAGCGUGCCAUCUUAGAUGCAGAUCAUACGGCCCCAGUCAAGCCUUCAAAUGACUGCAUCCCUACUUGACAUUUUGACUGUAACCUCAUGACAAACCCUAAGCCAGAACACCAGCUAAGCCACUCCCCAAUUCCUCAUCAAGAGAAACUGAGAUAAUAAAUGUUUAUUAUUGUUUUAAGCUACUAAAUUUUGAGGUAAUCUGUUAUGUAGCAAUAGAUAACUAAUACUGAUAUCUGUCAUAUUGGGGCCUCAGUGUAACUUGGAACAGAAAGAGUUCCAUAUUAU
rnacentral:lncRNA from 1 species